rnacentral:lncRNA from 1 species
UAUCCCACACCUGAACUGCUAGCUACAGUUAGACAGAAUUGCCUGGGGUGAAAAAAGUCAUAAAGGAUACUGGCCCCGUUACGUGCCAUAUCAAGUUAAUGUAUGGUUAUAAAACUCACAACCUAAAUAGCAGAGAUUUAAUUUUGUAAUUAUGAAUCAAGUGAACUAACCUCAAAGUAAAUAACCGAUUUGAUUAUUGGAGGGUAUUGAUAGUACCUUCAGGAUUUAGUUCAAUACGUUUUCUUUUACCAGUUUCAUUUAUAUAAUAAGGCUAACUUACCUCCCUGGGAGUAACCAGGGUUUUUAAAAAGAAAACUACGUUUAUCGAUAUAAGUAUGGUGGAUACUUGUACACCUCGGCUCAAAACGGAUAACCAACCAUCAACUUUUAGGGAAAAUAUAGGAUUUUCCCGGGAUAACUCGGUUUUUCAAACUCACUUUUCAUAAGAAAUAUAGAAUUUUCUUGAGGAAUACUUUUCAAAAGGAUCAAAGAAACAUUUUUCCACCAAAACUAUAUGCUUAUGAACUCACCAGCUUUAUGCUGAUAUUCUUUCAAAACUGCUUGUAUUCUCAGGGAACUAGUAGACAGGUACUUCCAGAUCUUUUGGUGAAGUCGGCGCGUAGAGUCACGUCUUUCUAUUUUUCUUUUGCUAAGAAUUAAAACUUUGUACUAAGACAAUGUAAAUAUUUUCAUAUAUGUAUUCAAUGUUUGGUUGUGUUUACUGAUAUGGGCAUAUUUAGUUAUAAAAUUCAUGCAUUAUCUUAAUACUUUAUGUUGUUUUUAUCUCAUUUAAUGAACAAAAGGUGCUUAAUUAGCUUAAAUAUUUCAUUUUCAGAAAUAAAGACAUGCUCAGAAGGAAAAGGAAGUGAAAUUGGUGAUUGAAAGCUUGGAUCUUGAAUUUUGAAGAAAGAAGGAUGUUGCUGGAUAGCUUGACCCCUUGUCAAUGUUUUGGCCAUAUCUCAUGAACCGUAACUCCGAUUGAUGAGAUUCAAAAUGUUCUGAAGACUAGACAAAAUUUCGGACGACUUUCGUGUUUUGAGAAAAUGUUGAUUCCAAGAGAACUAGACGAGUUGGGUCUCAAAUCGACGAGUUGGUUUUAGAAUGUUCCAGAUUCGAAGAUGCCUUGCCGUACACGCUGUAUACACGGAUUAUCAAAAAAAAAUCGACAAGUUUGUGGUGAAAACUCGUCGAGUUGGCCCUGUUUUCAGAAUUUAUAUAUAGAAACACUUCUCAUUCGAACCCUAACUUUUUCUGGAGGCUAGCUGCGAUUAUUGAAGACCAGAAGGGUUCUUGAAGCUUCAGUUUUCGAGAUUGCAACAUAAGAGACAAUUUAGAAGAGAAUCAAAGGCAAAUAAUCAUUCUUCUUUUCUUAAUCUUUGUUUUGAACCAUGUUUGAAUCAUUAGAUUUUGAUUUUAGGUUAUUACUUGCUGUAGAUAUGAGCUAAAAGCUUUUUACUUCUGUUUGGAUGAGAUAAUCUUAUGAACAUGGUUUGAUUGAGUGGUUGGAUUAAUAUUGAUUUGGUUAUUCAUCUUGUUAAGCUUAUUAAAGAUCCUUAUGUAUUGAUGAUAAAUGUUUUCAGUUAACAAAUAAGUGAUUGAGUUGCAUGAAUAUCUUCUUGAUCACUUGAUUCUUAUAGUUUUGUGAAAACAAGAUUGUAAGCCUAGGAAUAGUGAAUAUGAAACUAGGGUUAACUAGGAAAAAUGUAAAUCAAUAUGUAAGCAUGUGUGAUGAACAACCAUACAUGAAUUGAUUGAAUUGAACAAAUUUAAUUCAUUUUUAUUAUAAUUCUUACUUGAUACAAACUGAACACUAGGGAACUUGUUAAUUUAAUCAUUUGAUCACUUUUAAACUAACUUGUUUACUAAAGGAUUGGUAAUAAUGAACAUGAACCUAGUCACAUUAUGAAUCGGUGACCAUUGACAUAUUAAUUCAUUGCAUUUACCACGAAAUCAACCAUAGGAAUAAGUAAAUCGAAUCUGAACAGAAGUCUCUUUUAUCAUUGAAUCUAGUUGUCCUUUCUUGUUCUUCUUAGUUGUUAGUUGUCUUUGUUUGAGUGUUAAUUGAUUGUUUAAGUUUCUAGUCUUGCAAAACUAGAGAAACCCCCCUUUUAUAUUGUUUUAUUUAGAUAAUAUUAGCAUUUAUUUUAAUUGUUUACCGUUCCCUGUGUUCGAUACCCUACUUACUUGAACUAAACUGCUAUCAAUAGGUACAUUGCCUGCGUGUGUUUGUUUUUAUUUGGGUUUGUUAGGAUUAAAACUAGUUUGUUUCACACACAUCAUUUACUAUGCUUACUAUGAUACAACUGUUGUGAUACUACGCAUGACGUCAACCACUCCCGAACAUUUCCGCCGUUCCGGUUUGGGGGUGUGACUGGACUAAGCUCUUAAUGAAGAAUUAUAGAUUCUGUCAGUAACCACGACGUGGCCAAGGAAUGAUCACGACGUGGAGGAGUCCAACUUCACGAUAGUUUUGUCUGGACAUGCCCAUGAAGUGGCCAAGGAGGGUCCAUGAUGUGGUGAUGUCCCGUAUGUCGUCUAUUUUGUCCCGUCAUGCCCAUGACAUGACGUGGCCAAGAGGUAUCCAUGUCGUGGUGGUUGUUGACUUGGUUAAUCGUUGACCAUUGACCGUUGACUUGGGGUCAAACUUUGAGUAUUUGGGUUGUUGAUUAAGGAUUCAUCUAUUUUUGGUAGCAGUCAGUUCGUGGGAUUGAGAAAUGCAAGGAGAGAAAGUGUUGUUGUGCUUCUUUGAUUCUUCAGUUUAGGUGAGUUUCUCACUAUGCUACGUAUCCCAUUAUAUAUCCUUUGCAUGGUAGGAUAAAUAUAUUGUUUGAGUACAUGUAUGCUACUUGAUUAGGUGAACUCCUUGUUAUGCAUGUGUGGAGUAGGACAUUUGGUAUCAUGAUAUGUUAGGUAUGUAGGGUCUUGCCUGUUGAUUAUAUGAUACUGUUAGGAGUUAUGUUUAGUGAGGAUAAUAGGGGAAGGUCAAUUAUCAAGUUUAUGUAUGAUUAAACAGCAAAGGAUGUGAUUGAGAAGUUAUCAAUGACAGGGUAACUAAGGAAGGUUAGUUGCCAAGGGUAUGCAUUAUGCUAGUAUAUGUUAUGUGUUUAUAUUGCAUGAUUAUGUGAUAAUGAUAGUUUGCUUCCUAUGUAGUCUAUGUUGGAUAGACUAAUAACUCUUAGUCUAAUGCCUUAUUGCGAUGUUCUCGUCUGAUUGUUCGCUCUCUGGUAGAUUAUCUGUUCGACUGUCUAUCUAAUCCAUGACUAUAUAAGACUUUAUGAAUUGUAUGGAAGACCAGGAUUUGAUCCCUAGCAAUAGUACAGAAGACCAUGAUGUAGCUCCUGGCAGUGAAGUCUGGGUUGGGCCCAUGAACUCUUGGGAUGGGCUCGUUGGGUAUGGUAUAUGUAUGUGGAUAUGGGAUUGGUUGCUCGACACUAGAGUCGAGGAUUUUUAUGUGGAUGCAUUGUAUCUAUGGUGGAAUAUGUGAUAUACCGGGGAACUCACUAAGCUUUAUGGUUACAGUUGUGGAUUAAACAUUUUUGUAGGUCAUUUGUGAGAAGAGCUCAAUGAGACUAUACACACGCAUCAAAGAUAUUCAUUUUUACGGUUUUGUUAACUUAGCUCUGAUAAUGUAUGGUUUUCAAUUAAUCAAAUGUUAUUCAAUGGUUUUUGAGACAAAUAUUUAAUGGGUUAAUUGAUUUUAAAACUGAAAAUCUCUUUUUAAUUUUGGGACGUUACAGGAUUGUUGGUACCAACUCUAUACGAGUAGGCUGAUCCCCCCGAAUGAUCUAUCUCAUUAUCUUAAACACUACAACUAUGGGAACCGAUCACUUCCCUUGAAGGUUCUAUCAUGCUCAUCCAAACCUUGACCAUUUCCCCUGAAGGAUCUAUCAUGGUUAAGAACACUAACACAUACACAAAUAUAGCUAACAUAAUAAACAAGUUAAUGUACUUGUAUCAACAAUCAAUUGAGCAAUACUAUUGAUGUAGGCUAAAAUGAAAUCGCACCUCUUUGAACACCUACAUUACAUACCAAUAACCUCUAGUUAUUUUAUAUUUCAUUUAUCACUUAAUAAAACUUAUAGUAUGCUUAGUUUUUACUUUUUUUUGGUUAUAAUAGCUAGUUCGAGGACCUAUUUACCCUUGUUAUCCCCAUUACUUUAAAAUUUUAAUAUUUAUUAUAAGUAAUAUUUCCUUAUAUUUUUAGGAUAUAAAACACAUGUUCUAAUGUUAUUUAUAUAUUAUCUGUAGAUGACACAACUUAACCAUGCAAAUCAACCAAUAUUCUGGACCAAUUUGUGAAGAUGGUCAUUAACACCUAAAAAAAAGCGAGUAACAGUCUUUGAAAAAAAUAUAUGUUGGAUUUAAGUGUUUAAGAUCAUAACGAAAUUGGUAUAAUACUGAUGAACAAAAGUAAAAUCCUUUUUAGGUUGCCUUCAUAACUAGAAAAAUGGUUUGGAUUGAUCAAACAAGAGAGAUAAAUGAUUGAUUAACCAAAGGACUUCUAGCCCAGCGGUAUCAGGUGUUGCCCUCCCUCCUUGAGGAUGAGGGUUCAAGUCUCGUCUGAGACAUAUGUGGAUUUAGGAGUAGUUUAGGAAUAUAUUGUGUUUGCCAUAAAAAAACGAUUUAUUAAUAUAUUAUAUGAUUAAUAUAUUAAUUAAAAAUAGUAAUAAAUAAUUAAGAAUUAAUUUAUAGUUAAUUAUAGGUUAAUUGGAAUUAAUUAGAGGUAUAAGGGUUGGACUGUAAUUGUUCAAUAGUUGAGCAAAAGAGACAAUCCAGAUGUGACAUCCCCAAAUUAUGGUCAUUUUAAAAAUUUUAUUUAUGCUUAAUUGAAAAUUAGAGCAUUAAUUUUAAAGAAUAAUGUUGUGGAAUUUUUUCCCAGAAAAUAAGAUAAAUAUAUUAUUAAAGCAUUUCCGAAGAAAUGAAUUUUGUUUAUAUUAAAACUUUGGGAUGUCAUCGUCAAUACAGAAACAUAAACAUAAACAGACCUUAAAUUUAUUUACACUAGUGAUUUACAUCUUCUUUAAUCUCUCAGUGUAAUGUAGCUUCGUAUCGACACCUGUGAUACAAAUAAACUGAGUGGUCAGGUUAGGAAACCUGGUGAGUACAUAUGGAUUUCAAUUUCACAAUGUUAUAUAUUAGAACUUACAAUAUACAUAAUUUUACCUCAUAUAAACAGUUUUACCCCACCCCGUUGAUCCUCAUGACGACAUGGUCUAUACUCUUAGAUAAAAAAUUAACAUCUUUACCUAAACCAUAUUGCCGGAUCGAGUAUAUCUAAUCCAUGCUCUCGGAUCAAUAACUAUGCCCAUUCCAUACUCUCAAAUUAGGGACGAUUAACUAUGUCUAAUCUAUGCUCCCAGAUUAAUGACAAAUAACUAUGUCCUCUCCAUACUCUCAGACCUCAAAUCCAUGCUCUCGGAUCAAUGCCAAGUUUUAAAGUUAUAUUCUCCGUGUAUAUCUCACUCAUACUCAUAAGGAGAUACUACCCAGUAUUCCUCAUAAUUAAUUUAGGUUUACUCUGUAUCCUAAAUCAUCAUAUUUAUCAUAUAUGCUCUUAACACGUAUUUUAGGCAAUAUCAAAUAUUUCACACACAAACAUAUGUUUAAUACUCUAAUCAAUACUUGUAUUAAGAUCAUGUUCAUGAAACGGACUAUGCACUCAUUUUUCAAAAUGAUCAUUCCAAACUCAAGCAACGCUUCGCUUCUAACAAUUCUAUUUUCCUUCGACGAUACUUAGCAUCAUUACCUCUAGAUUUUAGUCUAACAUUUAAAGCGACUAUUUACGAGCGACAUUGUUUUAUAAGUGUUAACAAUACUUUUCAACCACUAUGUAUAGACAAGGGCCGGACAUGAAACACCGGAGGGUAGGACCAUUUUGACAUUAUAACACUUCUAAAAUCCAACAACCCUAUGCGACCAUUCAAACCAGAUUCCCUGUACCGCGAGUAGUUAAAAGAUAUUAUAAUAACACUUUAUAUUUUAUAAUACUUAGCACAUAUAUUUUUAUAGGUUCAUAAUAACGACUUAUGACUAUAAAUAUACGUUACGCUGAAAACAUAAUAGUGUAACUUAACUUAUCGGGUUUUUAACUAAAACCGAGAAAUUACGCAGGCAUAACUCCGACUCUAAAAACUUCAUUUGUCGGCUUUUUGACGACUCGGAGUUCCUCUAUCGCACCCUAAAACUAGGAGAAAUUGGACAAGAACGAAAUAAGGAUUCUAGAGAUAGUUUAGAGAAAUGGUGUAACAAAAUAUGAAGAGUUCAUCUUUUAUUUAUAGGGGCUUGAUCAUAGAGUAGACCCUAAGUUUCAUCCGUAUCUUCCGCGUAUGAGCACCGUUUUCUACGUUCUUUAUAUACAUGCGUUGGUAUUUACGAGUACUACAACUUUCAUUUAGACCCUGUCGGCUAAUUCUCAUUCUAUCACAGAUUUACAAAUCUGUAUAGAAUUUAUCGCGCUCGAAGAGUAGAGACUAAGUUUCGUCCAUAUCCUUGGCAUACAGGCUCUGUUUUCGACUGUAUUUUUAUCGUUGAUCUCCUAUUAACGAGAUCUUCAGUUCUUGUUUAUAUUGUUUUGGCUAAAAAUCGACCAAUCUAAAUUCGAUUUCCGAGCUGUGCACUGCUAUGUUAAAUCUUAGAAAAAUCAUAACUUCCUCAUACGAAGUCUGUUUUGGACAUUCUUUUUAUGCACGCCCUCGGUUUAACGUAUACUAUGAGUUUUGUUUAGAUCUCUGAGGCUAAAAAGUAUACAUAAAUUCACUUUUUAUGAUUCUCGAUGUCGUGCCGAUUUUGCCGCAAAACUUUGACAUGUCAUAACUUCUUCGUUAUAGGUUAGAUUUCAGCGUUCUUUAUAUGUAUGAAAUCAUAACAUAUAAUAUAGCUUUUGUUAAGAUUAUUUAUCCUAAAUAAUCUUUUAUUAAAAAGUCAUUUUUGACGUUUAUUGUCUCUAAAUUAACUAGCCCGAAUCCGCGAGGGUUACAACAGAGCCUUCCAUGAGGUGGAAGGUUUUGAAGCCCCUCUUAUGGGUGUUUAGAAGCCUCCAACUCAUAUAAGGAAACACAAUUUAAAUAGGGAUAAAGUACUAUUAUUUUAUUAUUCAAAAUUUGGGUUUCUAAGGUAUUUGGCAAGUAUAAAUAAGGCGCCUCCCUAGCUACCUAAAGAAAUCAAAUUUCUUCCUUCUCCCUUCUUUUCUAUUCGAUUAUAGGGUUUCCUCGAGUUUUGGGUGUGACGCAUUAGAGGCUCACAUACUUUUGAAGCUAGUUUUUUAAGGAGAUUAUCAAGAGUUUUUUAUUAGCUUAAUUCGACUUAAGCUAUAGGUAUGCGGUUCAGUUCAUGAAUUUGAUUCAUAGGGUUUAAAGUUUUUGUUUCAUAAGUAUGUUGCUAUUAUUUGAGAAAAGACAUGUAUCCAUUAGGUUACAUAUACCCUUAAGAGUUAAGUGAAAUUCCACACGUACAUAUUGAUUGUAACCUAAAAUUCUCAAUAGUGGUAUCAGAUCUAUGCUUUUCUAUUAAUUGCAUAUAGAAGAUGAAACUAGAAAAACAAAAAAAAUUGAUAAUAUGUAUUGCCACGACGUGGCUAGUCCUUUGCCACGUCAUGCAAACUGCCUGAAAUUCGAAAUUAACAAUGUAUAUUUGUAUUAUUAUUAAAAAGUUAAUGUUUAAAAUAGUAAAAAGUUAUUNNNNNNNAACCCAACCCAACCUUAAAAUCCGUUAAUGCAUUAUUCUGAUCCCUAUAUACAAAACAUUGUAAUGCUAAAUCAAUAAAGCAUAGUGAUAUACUAAUAAACACAACUUACAAGACAUUGUCCUGUACAAGAAGACAAACCAAGAACAUUGUUUUUGACUUUCUCUACUUCAUUAUUCCUUAACUUUAUUAUGUAUUCAGAGAUAAAUUAUUCAAAUAAGAAUGAACAUUUAACCUAGGAAGGAAAGCAGACAAGCACGGUUGGAAGUUGAGAAAUUUAAAAAGAUAAAAGAUACAAUCCUAUACUUAAGGAAUCACAUAAAAGACUUAGAGGAGAAAAAGCGGCGACCAACAACUCAACAAUGCAUCAUGGUUCAAGAUAGCAAAACCACAAGUUUUAGCGAGAGAGACGAGCAACACUAACAAUCUAACAAUCUACAGACAUUAUUAUUAGGUUUUUUAGGGUUGAUCUUUUUGUGAGUUUGUAAAAAGCUAAAACGUUUUCUAUAACUUAGAUUAGAAAUAUAUANAUAUAUGUGUGUGUGUGUGUAUUUUUUAUAUAAAUAUUUUCUUUAUUAUGCUGAAAAGUUAUACAAUUUAUGACAAGAUUUUGAUUUUUUAUUUUUGUUGAUUUUUUUGACACAUAAAAUUACUUCAAGAUUGCAAGCAAAUGUUACAUUAUGUAUAUAACUAACCGACACUGACAAUAUUUCUCAAAUAGUAGCGUAUAAAAAUGCAUUUUAUGAAAAUACAAACACAAUAACUAUGUAGUUGUCCAUAAAUUCAAAGAUCCUUUAAAAUAGGAGGCCCAAUGUGACUACACCACUCGCUAAGCCUCAGGGCCGCCACAGCUCCGGUUAUACAUGAAAACAAAUUUAAAAUAGGUGUAAAAGGGUGUUUUGUAACAUUUGUUGAAACAUGAGGGGUGUCAAUGAGAGGCCUUAAAACAAGCGGCAAAAGCAUGUUAUUAAAAAUCAAAAUGCCAACCCAGACUCACAUGCGCCAUACUUAACCAUCAACCUGAUAUAAACCAUGGUUAACAAUCAUGUCCUGUAUCUGCCGUCCGUUAUCUAACCAUGGUUGGCCUCCAACUCACCCAUAUCUCCAGCUAUAAAUACCGACACCCUAGGUUUUCGAAACGCAUCAAUUUGCAUCUGAAGGCGUCUUGAUAAACGCCUUUUGAUCCUGAGUGUUUUUCGCAAUCAAAUCAAAUCAACAUUUUUCAAUUUUAAUCUUCUCAAGUCAAUUCAUCAGCGACCAUGAGGGAGUGCAUCUCGAUUCACAUCGGUCAGGCCGGUAUUCAGGUCGGAAAUGCAUGUUGGGAACUUUACUGCCUCGAGCAUGGCAUUCAGGUUUGUCUCGAUCUCUCUGUUCCUUUUUAUAUGCAAUGUAAGGCAUCGAAUUUGCGGAAUUUCUCAAGAUUUGGUCGCUCGCAUUGAUUUUAUUUGUAGAUCUGAUUUUUUUGCAUUGGAUCUGUGAUUCCGAUUGUCAUUUUCAAUAAUUUGGUGUUUUUUCAUUAGAUCUGGCGCCAAUCUCGAAUCUUAUGAUUGAAUAUCUUUUUAUAAUAUCAGACAUUGUUAAUUCAAAUCUGCAUGCUUUUGAGACUAGAAACUUACGGAUCUGCAUGUUUUAUGUUUCGAAAGUGUUUAUUUUUACUUUCAUGUUGAACAAAUUGCUGAAUUUCUGAUUCGUUUGAGUUUCUAGUCGAUCUUUUAGCAAGUUUGUCUUUCGUGUUAGAUCUAAGAUAAUUUACUGUUCCAUUGGCUAUGAUUAUUUGUCGUCUGCGAAGUUUUUGUUAUGUCUUCAUCGGAUCUUUCAUUUUCUGAUGAAAAAGGUCAAUUACUCUUGUCUAAUGUCUGAUCGGCAUCUAAUGUUUUGAUCUCCUUUGCAGCCUGAUGGCCAGAUGCCCAGUGACAAAACAGUCGGAGGAGGCGACGACGCAUUCAACACCUUCUUCAGCGAAACCGGUGCCGGAAAGCACGUUCCACGCGCCGUCUUCGUCGAUCUAGAGCCAACCGUCAUCGACGAAGUCAGAACCGGAACCUACCGUCAGCUAUUCCACCCCGAACAACUCAUCAGCGGCAAAGAAGACGCCGCCAACAAUUUCGCCCGUGGUCAUUACACAAGUAAGAACACAUUUUCACUUCACCAAAUUCAAUCCUUUUUCUUCUAUUUCUAUCCCUCUAAACUACUUUCAUUUCUUCAGUCGGAAAAGAAAUCGUCGACCUCUGUCUCGACCGCAUCCGAAAGCUCGCCGACAACUGCACCGGUCUCCAAGGCUUCCUCGUCUUCAACGCGGUCGGAGGUGGUACCGGCUCCGGUCUCGGCUCCCUCCUCCUCGAACGUCUCUCCGUUGACUACGGAAAAAAGUCAAAACUCGGAUUCACCGUCUACCCAUCUCCACAAGUCUCAACAUCGGUAGUCGAACCCUACAACAGCGUCUUAUCCACCCACUCUCUCCUCGAACACACCGACGUCGCCAUUCUCCUCGACAACGAAGCCAUCUACGACAUCUGCCGCCGGUCACUAGACAUCGAACGCCCGACCUACACCAACCUCAACCGUCUCGUCUCCCAAGUCAUCUCUUCCCUCACCGCCUCCCUCCGCUUCGACGGUGCUCUGAACGUCGACGUGACUGAAUUCCAAACAAAUCUCGUCCCAUAUCCACGUAUCCACUUCAUGCUUUCUUCUUACGCACCUGUGAUUUCAGCUGAAAAAGCUUACCAUGAGCAACUCUCAGUCGCGGAAAUCACCAACAGUGCUUUCGAGCCUUCUUCCAUGAUGGCGAAAUGCGACCCCAGACAUGGGAAAUACAUGGCAUGUUGUUUGAUGUACAGAGGUGACGUGGUUCCCAAGGAUGUGAAUGCUGCUGUCGCUACUAUCAAAACGAAGAGAACGAUUCAGUUUGUGGAUUGGUGUCCUACUGGAUUCAAAUGUGGGAUUAAUUACCAGCCACCUACUGUGGUUCCCGGAGGUGAUUUAGCGAAGGUGCAGAGGGCUGUUUGUAUGAUUAGUAAUUCGACUUCAGUUGCUGAAGUGUUUUCGAGGAUUGACCAUAAGUUUGACUUGAUGUAUGCGAAGAGGGCGUUUGUGCAUUGGUAUGUGGGUGAGGGGAUGGAGGAAGGGGAGUUUAGUGAGGCGAGAGAGGAUUUGGCUGCGCUUGAGAAGGAUUAUGAAGAGGUUGGUGCUGAAGGUGCUGAAGAUGAAGGUGAUGAAGGUGAGGAGUAUUGAGCGACAAGUUGAAUGGUUUGGUUGUUUGUUUGUGUUUUGUUUUAUGAGUUUUUAUCUGGAUUUGGUUUGUGAUGUGAUAUGUUUUGUGUUUGUGACUAUGUGACAAGUAAUACUAGUAUACUACUACUACUACUACUGUUUGUUUUCUAGUCUUUUAAAUUUGUUGAGUAAUAUUUUGUGGUGGUUUGAUAGAGGGGAUGAUGAUAAAUGUGUGAAGCUUGAAAUAUUGGUUGAGGCCUUAAUGAAUUCCUUUCAUAAUCUAUCUUUGGAAGAUAUAUUCAUCUUCCUUUCUCUACCUUUCUUCAUUCUAAAGUUUUGAGUGGUAGAGUCAAAUCUGAUUUAUAGGUUUAAAUUCAUGAAUUAUUAUAGUUUUGGAUUGAUAAUUUGCUUCUAAAUAUGAAUAUUCAAACAACAAUUCCAUUCAUAGUUGUGAGAUUUGGGUUUUGGUGAAGUUUAGGGUGUUUCUAACCAUAUACCAUCUUAAAUCCAAAUUUAAUGACUGGUUUUUAAAUUGAUUGAGUUUUGAUGUUUGUACCAUGUUUUAGAACAUCAAGGCAUCACCAUCCGACUCAUGGAAUGCUUGAUUCCAUAUUCAAUGAUGGAAUGUGAGAUUCACAGCCCUAACUUUAUGUUGAGUUGCACUUAUGCAUUAGAGAGUUGUGCUUUAUCUCAUUGUACCCUAAAGUUAGGUUGCACUUAUGCAUUAGAGAGUUGCUUUAUUUCAUUGUUGAAGUUUUAGAUUUAAAUCUAGGUUGUAGAUGGAGUUUUAAAAUUUAAGAAAAGGAAGAGAAAAGAAAAAUAACGGAAAGGGAAGAGACAUAAUUAAUUAAGUUGGAAGGAAAUGAUACAUUUUUAGGGGAGGAAAGGGUAAACUCCACCUAAUUUUGUCCUCUAAUUCCCUUCUCCCAAUCAUCCUGAAUUCCGGCGAAUACAUUUUGAGGGGAUGAAUGGGAAAGUGUUCCUUCCUAAUCCCUUAAUUUCCUCUAAUUAACUCAAGAAUAGGUUCUUCUUGCCUAAUCCAUUCUUUCCCUUACAAUAAAAAAAAAAAAAAAAAAAAAAAAAAACCUCUUGAACAAAGCAUAAACCUUCUGUCGGGAUUAUCCUUUGUUCAUGAUGUCCAAAUUCGAGAAAGAUAGCAACAAUAGCGAGGGUUUGCAUUACCAUCUAUCGUAUUUGGCUUGAAGAAAUGUGAUUUUGAGUUAGAGAUUUGCAACUUUGAGGAAGAAGACAUCACAAUUAUAAAGAAUUUUUUGUUCUAAUUUUGUCCAAAGCGGGAGAGUUCUUGCCCUAAUGGUGCAUACCAAUGUUGGGAAGAAAAUGGUUGGUAAUCGGAUGUCGAACUCAUCAAAUAAAUAUCAAAUCAACACAUAUACACACACACACAUAUAUAUAUAUAUANUAUAUAUAUAUAUAUAGUUCUUUAUAUUUUUUUGUUUUAAAAUAAGUUAUUUUUUUGUAUGUAUUCAGUGUUAUGACAUGUUUCUUUAGGUUUUUCUCAAAACAAUGAGGUGUUCAUGGUUGUUGAUGCUUAUGUCUCGGAUUUUAAUGAUUUUUAUAUUUGAGUCUACUACAAUUUUUGUUUAGAUUACUCAUGUUAAAAAGUAAUAUAUAUUUUUACUUAUGAUUUUAUAAAAAACGUUCAUACAUAUAUUUAUAAAAAAUGCAUGUGUAUAUAAGUAAAAAUAUUACUUUUUAAUGGGAGUAAUCUAAAUGAAAGUUGUAACAGACUCAAAUAUGAAUGUGUGGAUAUAAAAAUCGUUAAAAUUUGAUAGCGUAUAAAGAAUUUAUAACGUUCAGAACACAAGACCUAAGCUAAACCAUAAGACAUAGGUAGCCAAGCAGCCGAUGACGCGGUGGCUAUAAACAUCAACAUCCCUGAACACAUCGUUAAUGAUUGUCCCACGUAGGAUACCGUGAGAUAAACUUAAAGAAACUGACCAUAAGCAAUGAAUGUGUAAAAAAACAAUAAUGACGUAUUUUGCAACAACAAAAUAUUAAAGACUAAAUGUUCAAAAAAUAUUAAGGACUAAAUGUGUAUAAAAUGAGAAAAUAUAUUACCAUAUUAAGUAUUUUUCUCCGGCUUACCUGGAGUAACCGGUCAUAAGGACCGAAUGUGUACAGUUAAAAAAGUUGAAAUGACAAAUGUGGAGGAAAAAAUACUUAGUUACCAAAUAUGUAUAGAUCGAAAAGUAUAUUAUCCUUUUAAGUCAUUAUCCAUUUUUCAAAUUUAAGAAAAAACACCAACCUAAUACUAGUGGCUGAAAUAAUUACACAAGUAAAUUGAAAAACAAAUCUUUUAAUUCUUAGGGCAAAUCUCUAAUUUUUCAAGUGGCCGAGUCAAGCAAUCUUGCAUUGCCUCCAAAUCAAUGCUUUCAACAUUGUCCUGUUGAUAGUUGUAAUUGGAAAUUAACAAAAAAAUAAAAUAAAAUUCCUUUGAUGCAUGAUCUAGCAUUUUCUAAAGACAAAACUGUAAAAUUGGUCUUUGUGGUUUGCGAAAAACUUUGGAUAAGGUCCAAAAAGUUUUCAACUUGCAUGUAAGGUCCAAACUCAAAAACUUUCUGGGAUUUUGGUCCAAAAAAAUUUGAAAAGACGGUUAUACCUUUUUGUUUUCUUUUUGUAUUUUCUUUAAUUAUUCUAAUACUAUUAUAAUAUUUUUUUUUGUAUUUUUUUACUUUAAAAAUAAAAAGAAAAGAAGAAAUUAUCCCCCCACUCCCACCCACUCCACCGUUACCCCCUUCUCUCUCUCUCUCUCUCUCUCUCUCUCUCUCUCUCCCAUUCUUCUAACCCACCUUCGACAUCAUGGGGAACUCGAAAUCCACAAUCCAAAACUACAGAUCAUUUGAUAAUUUUUAUCUAAAUUCGAAAACUUGUUAUGAGUACCCAUUGGGGAUCAAAUUUGGUGGUAAUUUCGAGUUUAAUUUUGGUUUCAGAAUGAGGAAUGGAGUUAGGGCAUUGAAGAACGGUGAUGAUGGGAAUUGGUGGAAUUUUCCGACGGUGAAUGCCGUGAACAUUUCACCACCGGUGGUGACAAUAAUACUGGCUCCGAGAAAGGUAAAGAAAGCUCCGGUGGAAAAGAAGUAGAGGAAAAUGGAGGAAUUGAUGAAGAGGUCGGAAUCGGAAUUGGAUCAGGGGAAUUAGAAUCAAGGAGAGUAGAAUUCAAGUCUUGAAAAUGGGUCCAGAUUGCUAUUGAAAUUGAAUUAUGAAGAGAUAAUGAAACCUACAAAUCAUACCUGCAGUUCGGUCCAGAUUUCAAAUCCAUCUCCUCUAAAAUCGGACAAUGAAAUUCCUAAUAUUGUUCUCCUCUAAACCUGGACAAGGAGGAGGCGGAGAGGCUGCCACCGUUGACUGUGUGGGUCUCUUNACUGUGGUGGUUCUCUUCGCCGGUGGAGUGAGAAACGGUGGAGAGUGACGAGGGGAUGUGGUUCCUAGCAGUCUUCUUCGGUCAGUGGAAAAAAGGAAGAACCAAGGUGGUUCCUGGUGGUUACACAGCAGCAACACCACCCUUGGCUUUGUCAUUCCGGCAGCAGCAUAAGCGAGUGAAAGACAAGGAAGUGCCAGGAGUAACAAUGACACACUCGUAGGUGCUUGACUUGCUUCGAUUAUCAACAAAAGAGGGAGGAACACACAGUAGAGCAAUGGUGGGUUUUAUUUUUGGGUUUGNGAUAGAGGGAGGGAGAGAGAAAGAGAGAGAGAGAGAGAGAGAGAGAGUACGGUAGGGGUAGGGCUAGGGGUGAAAAAUUUGUUUUUUUUUCUUUUUUUUUUUUUAAAAAUCAAAAUAACAUUAAAAUACUUAUAGAAAAAAGAAAAAAGAAAUCAAAAGGGCAUAACCGUCUUUUUAAGUUUUUUGGACAAAAAACUCAGAAAAACUUUGAUUUUGGAUCUUCUAUGCAAGUUAAAAACUUUUUGGAUCCUAUCCAAAGAUUUUUGAAUACCACAGAGACCAAAUUUGCAGUUUUGUCUUUUUUAAAUUAUCAAAUAUCCCAUAAACCUUAAUCCACUUUAUAUGUUUUAGCAUACACAAAUAUUAUUUUGGCUAUUUUUAUGUUAUGGUUAAGAUAUUUUGUGGCACAAAACAUGCAAUUUGUCAUGGUCGGGUAAUAAAAUAUCAAACUAUGAAACUAAUAUUGUGACAACAUAUGAUUAAAAAUAAAUAUUAGCCUUUCAAAUUGUGAAAUAUGAUAUGAUGGCGUCAUGGGCAAUAUGUAAACUCCAAUUUAAUAUAUAUUUCAGCUUGUAAUUUACAAUAAUACCAUAACAAUGACUUCAUGUGUGCACAAAACGAACCUAAAAACCAAAAACAUAAAAAAUGAUAGAGGUUAGCAACGAUCACUAAGUGUAGUACGAAACUGGUGGUGAUCUUCUUUCAUUUAAAACAUCUAGCUAUAAGAUGUCGUAUUUCCUUUUGUUCUCCUCUUUAUUCCUCCAUUAAUAAAUGAUAACAAGCUAUAUAUAGCUUGUUGGAAGUGAUAUUGCCAUUAUUGCUAACAUCUUCAGACUCAGAGGAUCGACCUUAAGGAAAAGCUGAAGCCAAGUUAUUUUGCAACUGUUGUGGUUAUAAUACAACCAUCAAGUUCAUUAUCAAUUGCAUUAAAAAACAAACCAUCAAACAUUAUUGCAACGAAAAAGGAUUACACAGAACCCAAAUGUUUUGAAGUCGUUGAAAAGAAGUUGAAUAUGGUGGUGGAAUUGUUACCACGAAAACUAUUCCACAUCCCAUAUCCCAUAUCCCACAUUGCUACAUGAAAGCUUCUAAAGUCUGCUUAUAAACAUAGUUUAAAGACAUAAAACCACCGGGCUUGGUAACACUUGUCUGUAACCCAAGUGGGGGUAUCAAGGUGGGUCGGACUGUGAUUUGGUCAGUUUGGCUGGGUCUGCUGUUGCAUUAUAUGGCUUGCCCGAUCCAAGUCGAGAGCUGACUCAUGUGGCUCGAGCGAAGGCUUGGGCUUCGUGGAUCUUAGAGUAAGAGGCAAUGCGUUAGGCUGGCUUCACAGAGCUGCGAAUACUCUUCUCUCCCGACAGUGGAUGGAUAACAGGCUUCGGCUCUUCAGACCCAUAUUGCCUACUGCUCCAAAUCAAAUGAACACCCACAUUUUUUUUUUAUUAAAAUUGAUUAUGUUUCAAUCGAUCUUGAUCACGUAGUUUGUAAAUGAUUUGAGGCAUUGUAGGAAUGAUUUGACCUUCAUCGAC